rnacentral:rRNA from 1 species
CUUUAAGACUUGUAAAAAAUUUUGAACACUCGUGAAAAAUUUUACAAUACACCGACAUGUACCCGGUACUCAUCCUUGUUCACCGUACAUAACCAAAAAAGACUAGCUCUGUAUAAGAUAAAAGGCAGUUGUUUUACGCCUCCGCCUUUCGUCCUUCUCCACCGGACAUAAACAAAAAAAAAAAAAAGAGUAGCUCUGGAUAACAUGAAGGGCAGUUGCGUCACGCCUCCGCCUGUGACCUUCUUUUUGGUUUGGGGCGUCAGAUCGUAUCUCACAGCUUGUUUGGUCUUCCGCCCCUCUAGCGGCCCUUGACAGGCUACUGGCCGCCAUCGUCUCCGUGGUGGGCCGCAGUUAGGCGGCGGAGGUCGUCGACGCCGCUGGGGAAGAGGAGAAGGGGUCUAGGCCUUUGCUAGGCCUACCGCUGGUACGGGGCGACGCGGAGUACCGGCCCUCGCGGUCUUGGGGGAGGAGGAUACUUAGCUAAGCAAGUGGGAGGACAGGCAGUGGAAGGAGCGCAUAUGGCCGUCCACCAACGUCUGCCUCAGCAUCCGGCGGCGCCGCGACGCGUCCUACCGCGAGGAAGUGCGGCGAACUACGCGGGGCCUACUACCUAGACGGAGUCUACUUGACCCCGACUUGUAAACCAUGUCAUGUUACCUUGCUCCUAAGAUUGCACAACAUACGUGAGAUGAAGACGUGUUGCACUAAACGUUCCGCUAGUGUUUCUUUCGGACAUAACCCCCUGAACGUCCGGUUAACAUAUAGAGUCUUAAGCACGAUCCGUGAAUUGAUACAACUAGGAAAAGAGAAAGGCGAAUACUGUACUAUCAACCUUAAUAAGACUAGAGAAAGAGUACCGAAAGACAACCCAAAGUAGAGAUCGGUUGGGGUUGAACGAACCCUGUUUUCCUGGCUUCUGUAAGCAUAACGAUCGUCGUAAUCAAAAAUACGUUUCACCCUUCGAAAUUAGACGGCCUGUACUAACUUCUGAGAAGUUUGUAUUACUAGAUAGACCAUGAAAUUUCCAAAGUUGUUCUUGAAGGACCGUUUUAUCUGUAUCACAAGAACAGUCCCCGACCGAGUUUUUGAGGUUACCAACGUCGUAAUCGUCAGAUUGUCUAAACAGUCGAGGGUAAGACUCGUGGACCUAACUUAGUUUUCUCUUCCUAAAACUUCUCUCUAUGCUAGUUUACAAGUUGUAUUUAUUAUUCGUUGUGGAAGUUCUUCCUUAUUGCAGGAGUGCAAUAGUAACGGUGUAGACCGGUUUCUGCUAGAUCUCCUCCUAAAAGUAGGGCCAACGGCUCUGGUCGGUUACUUCUGGUCAUGUUGUUGUUAAACCAGGCCAAACGUCUACUACGCCGUCGCGGACAACGUGAACGAGUUUUCUCACCACCUCGCCUGUGAGACGGCCUUCUUUUCUAUAGGACUACGACCUGUUUACGUAGGUUCCGCUCCCUUACAGGGGCCGGGCCGAACCGAGCCGAGUCGAACUUCUUCUCUUUUUGACACGACCACGACCCUAAACCUUCUACCGCGAGAUCGAUAACUAGACUAGUCCUAAGUCCUCAUAUCAGGACUAUCGACUUCAGACAUCACCUCUGACCGCGUCCCAUGUUUCAACAUCAUUAUGAGAAAACUUCGAAAGGGGGGGUUUUAAAACUGCGUAUGUCUCAACAUGAAGGAGGCAGGGUAUUAUACAUGAUCACAUUAUUGUAGAAUAUAAUACCCUGCUUCUUUCAUUAUUAACAAUCAUUAUACAUGAUCACACAAUUCUUGUGUCCCUGCUACGUGUUCUUGUUACGGACGGUUUCUUGAAACACUCUGACUUCGGUGACAGGAGCACUCUAACUGAUGAUGGAGACAUUGAAUCUCCGGCAAGCCUUAGUGAGGCGAGGCAUUGAGGCGACGCCUCGUCUCGUCGUAGGUCACCUUAAAACCGCUCGCCGGUUUAUCCACGAGACGGGCGAGGCGAGGUACCGCUUCCUCGCCUCAUAACGACUUGUGUAGCAAUUAUAUUCUACAAAAAUCAACGCCUGACUGGUUUAUUCACCGGUUACACUUUAUAAAAUAAGGAAUAGUUAGCGUAUUCACAAGUUCGGAAAAGUAAUUUCAAGUAAUAUUAUUAGUUCUUUUUCAGAAUCAACAUGAUCUACGGCAUUCCUUCCGGUGUUGUUUUUUUUGUAUCUGUUUCCAAGGUGAGAGGGCCGUAGUUCAACAAAUCGUAAUAAACUCCCGGCCGCCCUCCCGAAGCAAAAAUCAGCAAGAAAAGUCAAAACAAUCCCAAACAUAAUACGAGUCCUUCCGCUUUGCCGCCGCUAAAGGACUUCUACCUUAUUACCAGAGGGACGGAUCGGGGGCAAAGUCACCACGCAGAUCGUAGCAAUCACCCGCACACCUCCACACAGAGGCCGCCUAUAUAGAAACCACCUAAACGAGCCUAGAGCAACCACAAGCAGAUGCAAGUACACAGAAGCCUAACCUAGGAAGACUAGAUGCAAUAAGAAGUAGACGCCGCCAACGACAAGACCACGCGACCAGGAUAUCCCGGAAUCGUGCUGCUGAAAGGCUGACAGAUGAUGUCGUUCAACACGGGCUGAGGCUGCUACCUCCCCGCUACUGCCGCCGCGCGGAAGCCGAGCGAAGUCAUGAACAUCAGCAGCGAUCCACCAGAUGCCUAGACCUACAUUAAAAUAAUAAAAACCAUAAGCACCAUGACGGAAAUAACUUCUACUUAUCUAGCCUUCUAAAGGGCGUUUUUUUUUUAAAUAAACUUAUAGGUGCACAUAAAGUAUGUCGGAGACAAACAGGCACGUACUACAUUAUAGAAAGUUCGUCGAGAGACGGAGAGAAAGUUUCAAAGUUCAUUCUAUAGUGAAAGUGUGUAUGCAAACCGACGGACGGUUAGAUCGUACAGUACAGAGGAGUAGACAAGGACAGGUCCAGCCGUACGUUGCUGUGAGUGACUCGCUACGGAAGAUGCGGUGAAUUUGACCUAGGUCGUUGGUUAGGUGAGUCAGCUUAGUUAAGGAACUUAUUUAGAUAAUGAUCACUUCUGUAAUAACAGUUUAGGUUGAUGAUGAGGUUACGUCUAGCGUAGUUGCCGUGAUCAUGAAAUUCAUUUAGAUAAUGAUGACUUCAGUAAUAACGGCCAAACUUAGACCACCUAGCCCUAAAGUAACCGUUUGAUGCCUGCCUUUCUUUGUUGAGGUUCCCCCUACCUACUUCCUUCCUCCCUUUUGAUCAUGGACCAUAAACACCACUAGCUCCUGUUACUCCUCGGAGACCUCCUCCUCGUCGCCCUCGACCAAGAGCUGCUGCUGGUACAGCCUAACCUACAUCAAGGUGUCCAUCUCCAUCGGCAUGAACGACUUCUGCCCCAGCAACCCGCGCAUGAGGAGCACGUGGAACGGGGCGUCGCGCAGGUAGGCGUAGCGG